rnacentral:rRNA from 1 species
UGGGGAAUAUUGCACAAUGGAGGGAACUCUGAUGCAGCGACGCCGCGUGAACGAAGAAGGCUUUCGAGUCGUAAAGUUCUUUUAUAUGGGAAGAUAAUGACGGUACCAUAAGAAAAAGCCCCGGCUAACUACGUGCCAGCAGCCGCGGUAAUACGUAGGGGGCUAGCGUUGUCCGGAAUCACUGGGCGUAAAGGGUUCGCAGGCGGAAAUGCAAGUCAGGUGUAAAAGGCAGUAGCUUAACUACUGUAAGCAUUUGAAACUGCAUAUCUUGAGAAGAGUAGAGGUAAGUGGAAUUUUUAGUGUAGCGGUGAAAUGCGUAGAUAUUAAAAAGAACACCGGUGGCGAAGGCGACUUACUGGGCUCAUUCUGACGCUGAGGAACGAAAGCGUGGGUAGCAAACAGG